rnacentral:rRNA from 1 species
GUGGGGAAUCUUAGACAAUGGGGGAAACCCUGAUCUAGCCAUGCCGCGUGAGCGAUGAAGGCCUUAGGGUUGUAAAGCUCUUUCAGCUGGGAAGAUAAUGACGGUACCAGCAGAAGAAGCCCCGGCUAACUCCGUGCCAGCAGCCGCGGUAAUACGGAGGGGGCUAGCGUUGUUCGGAAUUACUGGGCGUAAAGCGCGCGUAGGCGGACCAGAAAGUUGGAGGUGAAAUCCCAGGGCUCAACCUUGGAACUGCCUUCAAAACUCCUGGUCUGGAGUUCUGGAGAGGUGAGUGGAAUUCCGAGUGUAGAGGUGAAAUUCGUAGAUAUUCGGAGGAACACCAGUGGCGAAGGCGGCUCACUGGCUCGAUACUGACGCUGAGGUGCGAAAGCGUGGGGAGCAAACAGGAUUAGAAACCCCAGUAGUCC